rnacentral:rRNA from 1 species
AUGUUGGUUUUUCCAGACACAUCUAGUUAUGUGCUUGCAAAAGUAAAUGUAAAUUUAGUGUGGAACAUGAUAUUUGUGUUUGAGCUUAAUACUGAAACUGCAAACAGGUACUUCAUUAUUAUUGAUGAUGUUUGGAAAGAGGAAGACUGGAAAAUUAUCAAAGCAGCUUUUACUAACAAUUGUAAUGGUAGCAGAAUAAUUGCUACCACACGCAUCACCAAUGUAGCUAGGUCAUGUUGUUCCAACUCUGGUGAUCAGCUUUAUCAAAUGCCAGUUCUGAAUGAUGUUGAUUCUAGGAGAUUAUUCUUAAAGAGAAUUUUCCAACACAACAACCCCUGCCCUCCCAAGCUAAAAACAGUUUCAGACAAGAUUUUGAAAAAAUGUGGUGGUCUGCCAUUGGCUAUAAUCACAAUUGCGAGUUUGCUAGCCAAUAAACCUCAUAAUGCAGAUGAAUGGGAGAAACUGGAAGAUUCCAUUGGUAAUGGUCUUUCAUAUGAGAAUGAUGGUGGUGGAACAGGGAUGAAAGAUAUAUUGCUACUUAGUUAUUGGGACCUUCCGCACCACCUGAAGACUUGUUUAUUAUACUUGUGCAUAUAUCCAGAAGACCAGCGUAUCAAUUGUGCAGAUUUGAAAUGGAAAUGGAUUGCGGAAGGAUUUAUUGCUGCACCAUGGGGAAACCUGUGUCAAGAAGCAGAGAACUAUUUCAAUGAACUUGUCAAUAGAAAUAUGAUCCAGCCGGUUGAUGUUGGCCGUGAUGGCCUUGUACACUAUUGCCAGGUUCAUGAUAUGGUCCUUGACCUCAUAAUAUCUCUGUCGGAAGAAGAAAACUUUGCCACUGUUUUGAACAGACGUGUCUGCAAUUCUUUGCCAAGCAAGAUUCGUCGGCUGUCCAUGCAAUCUACUGGGAAAGGAAACAAAGGGGCAAUCCAUGCAGUCACAACAAGCAAGUUGCAUGUUCGCUCACUAAAUGUGUUUGGAGAAACGGAGCCGGUACCCCCACUUGUGGACUUCCAUUCCUUGCGAGUGUUGGAUUUUGAUAGCUGCAAUUGGCUGGAAAAGGAGCACAUAAAAAAUAUUGGAAGUUGUUCCCAGCUUAGGUAUUUGCGAAUUAGCGGCACACAAAUCACUGAGCUUCCUGGAGAAAUAGGGAAGCUGCAGUUCUUAGAAACUCUGGAUCUGCAGGGCUGUGGUGACCUUAUAACACUGCCAUCAACGAUGGUUCAGCUACAGAAACUGGCGCGCCUACUUAUUCACCACCACAUUUGGUUGCCUGCCGGUGUGAUUGGGAGCCUGCACGCCUUGGAGGAAAUAUCACAUAUCUAUCGAGUUGACAACCCAGUGAAAUUUGCGGAGGAGCUCAGGCACCUAACAAAACUGAGAAAGCUCUCUAUGAAUUGUUAUCCAGAUAUUUGCAGUGAUUAUCUAGAAAGAUAUUUGGAAGUUUUGCAAUCAUCUCUAAGUGAAUUGUGCAAAUUCAACCUUCGAUAUCUUCAUACCAGUGAGGAAAUAGGAGAUUAUCUGCUGGGGGGUCGAAGACUCAGGUUCCCACACCUCCAUCUUGUAAAAUCGGUUUUUACACAUGAGACUCGUUUUGAAAGGAUUCCCAUGGGAAUGGCUUCCAUAAAUGAUCUCGUCCAUUUAGACAUAGAAGUUAAGUGGUUUGAUGAGAAAGGUCUCCAUCUUCUCAUGGGCAUGCCUUGUCUGACCCACCUCCAGUUAAGUGUGAUCGCUGCAGAGGAUUCGACAUGGGGACCCUAUUUUCCGGGAUACGGAUUUACACCGGUGACUGUCGGUAGUAACGGAUUCAAGUUUCUAAAGGUGUUCUGCUUCACAUUGAAGGAUUACACAGGAAUUGGAAUAACAUUUGCACCAGGUGCUAUGCCAGCACUCGGGAGGCUCCAUCUUUGCUGGAAAGCACGGGAUGUUAUGCACAAAGAUCCUGGCGCUGGCAUGGGCAUCGAGCAUCUUUCAGGCCUUGCGCACCUCCAGGUGGUAACUGAUUGUUCGUAUGCAACUGUGGCCGAGGUGGAGGCUGUGGAGGGAAAAGCGACCCCCUUGCAUCCCAACCGCCACACUCUUCAAGUCCAUCUCCAUAGAAAAAACAAGAAAGGUAUGUUCAAGGAUGACAAGGAGAGGGACAGGGAGCGGGACCACUACGAUUACGUCCAGUAUAUUGGCAACAUGUAA